CACAAGCGGUGGAGCAUGUGGUUUAAUUCGAAGCUAACGCGAAGAACCUUACCAGGUCUUGACAUCCGAUGCUAUUCUAGAGAUAGAAAGUUACUUCGGUACAUCGGUGACAGGUGGUGCAUGGUUGUCGUCAGCUCGUGUCGUGAGAUGUUGGGUUAAGUCCCGCAACGAGCGCAACCCCUAUUGUUAGUUGCCAUCAUUCAGUUGGGCACUCUAGCGAGACUGCCGGUAAUAAACCGGAGGAAGUGGGAUGACGUCAAAUCAUCAUGCCCCUUAUGACCUGGGCUACACACGUGCUACAAUGGUUGGUACAACGAGUUGCGAGUCGGUGACGGCGAGCUAAUCUCUUAAAGCCAAUCUCAGUUCGGAUUGUAGGCUGCAACUCGCCUACAUGAAGUCGGAAUCGCUAGUAAUCGCGGAUCAGCACGCCGCGGUGAAUACGUUCCCGGGCCUU
rnacentral:rRNA from 1 species